GUCGGAUUGGCGGAAUUGGCAGACGCAGCAGACUCAAAAUCUGCCGGGGGCAACUUCGUGUGGGUUCAAGUCCCACAUCCGGCA
rnacentral:tRNA from 1 species